GACAGAGGGUGCUAGCGUUGCUCGGAAUUACUGGGCGUAAAGGGCGCGUAGGCGGCUCGUUUAGUCGGGUGUGAAAUCCCGGGGCUCAACCCCGGAACUGCAUUCGAUACUGGCGGGCUAGAGACCGGAAGAGGUGGGUGGAAUACCCAGUGUAGCGGUGGAAUGCGCAGAUAUCAGGAGGAACACCGGUGGCGAAGGCGGGUCUCUGGGCAGUAACUGACGCUGAGGAGCGAAAGCGUGGGGAGCGAACAGG
rnacentral:rRNA from 1 species